GUUUUGGGAAAGCCGGCCGGAGAGGGUGAAAGCCCCGUACGUGAAAGCAGAGCUGACUGAGCAGGAUCCGGAGUACCACGAGACACGAGGAACCUUGUGGGAAGUAAGGGGGACCACCCCCUAAGGCUAAAUACUACUUAGUGACCGAUAGCGCAUAGUACUGUGAAGGAAAGGUGAAAAGGACCCCGGGAGGGGAGUGAAAGAGAACCUGAAACCCUGUGUCUACAAGCUGUGGAAGUGCCAUAUGAGCACGACCGCGUACUUUUUGUAGAACGGUCCGGCGAGUUACGCUUACUGGCAAGGUUAAGCACUUCAGGUGUGGAGCCGUAGGGAAACCAAGUCUUAAUAGGGCCAGAGUCAGUAGGAGUAGACCCGAAACCGGGUGAUCUAUCCAUGUCCAGGUUGAAGCUGCCGUAAGAGGUAGUGGAGGACCGAACCCACAUCCGUUGAAAAGGGUGGGGAUGAGGUGUGGAUAGGGGAGAAAUUCCAAUCGAACCCGGAGAUAGCUGGUUCUCCUCGAAAUAGCUUUAGGGCUAGCCUCGGUGUGAGUCUUGCGGAGGUAGAGCACUGAAUUUCCUAGGGGGCGUCAAAGCCUACCGAAGAAUAUCAAACUCCGAAUGCCGUGUAGAUAUCACCGGGAGUCAGACUGCACGAGAUAAGUUGGGCGGUCAAAAGGGAAAGAGCCCAGACCUACAGUUAAGGUCCCAAAGUGCGCGUUAAGUGGAAAAGGAUGUGGGAUUUCGAAGACAACCAGGAUGUUGGCUCAGAAGCAGCCAUACAUUCAAAGAGUGCGUAAUAGCUCACUGGUCGAGAGGUCCUGCGCCGAAAAUGUCCGGGGCUGAAACGCGCCACCGAAACUAAGGAAUCUGAAAAGAUUGGUAGAGGAGCAUUGCAUGCGGGAAGAAGCAGUACCGGAAGGAGCUGUGGACUGCAUGGAAGAGAGAAUGCCGGAAUGAGUAGCGAGAUAGAGGUGGGAAUCCUCUAGGCCGAAUAUCCAAGGUUUCCAGGGUAAAGCUGAUCUGCCCUGGGUGAGUCGGGACCUAAGGUGAGGGCGAGAGCCGUAGCCGAUGGACAACAGGUUGAUAUUCCUGUACUGCAGUAUGACAGAACUGUGGGGACACGUAAGGAGAGCGGGAGCCGGGAAUGGAAAGCCCGGUACAAGCGAGGUACCAGUCACAUAGGAAAAUCCGUGUGGCAAUGGGAAGACGUGAUGUGGAGCGAAGAUUAGUAGCGAAGCCCGUGAGCCAUGCGUCAAGAAAAGCCGCUAUCGUUCAUAUUGUACCCGUACCGUAAACCGACACAGGUGGAUGAGGAGAGAAUCCUAAGGCCGGCGGAAGAAGUAUUGCCAAGGAACUCGGCAAAAUGGCCCCGUAACUUAGGGAGAAGGGGUGCCUGCGAGAGCAGGCCGCAGAGAAUAGGCUCAAGCAACUGUUUAGCAAAAACACAGGUCUAUGCGAAACCGAAAGGUGAGGUAUAUGGGCUGACGCCUGCCCGGUGCUGGAAGGUUAAGAGGAGAGGUUAGACGUAAGUCGAAGCUUUGAAUUUAAGCCCCAGUAAACGGCGGCCGUAACUAUAACGGUCCUAAGGUAGCGAAAUUCCUUGUCGGGUAAGUUCCGACCCGCACGAAAGGCGUAAUGAUUUGAGCGCUGUCUCGGCAAUACAUCCGGUGAAAUUGAAGUGCCAGUGAAGAUGCUGGCUACCCGCGCCAGGACGGAAAGACCCCAUGGAGCUUUACUCCAGUUUGGCACUGGGGUCCGGUGUUGCAUGUACAGGAUAGGUGGGAGGCUGAGAAACGGUAACGUCAGUUGCCGCGGAGCCGCUGUUGGGAUACCACCCUUGUGAUAUUGGGCUUCUAACCAGCCGCCGUAAUCCGGCGGUGGGACAAUGCCAGGCGGGGAGUUUGACUGGGGCGGUCGCCUCCGAAAGGGUAUCGGAGGCGCCCAAAGGUUCCCUCAGAAUGGACGGAAACCAUUCGAAGAGUGCAAAGGCAGAAGGGAGCUUGACUGCGACACCGACGGGUGGAGCAGGUACGAAAGUAGGGCUUAGUGAUCCGGUGGUAUUAAGUGGGAAUGCCAUCGCUCAACGGAUAAAAGCUACCCU
rnacentral:rRNA from 1 species